rnacentral:misc_RNA from 1 species
GAUGAAGAACGCAGCGAAAUGCGAAAAGUAAUGUGAAUUGCAGAAUUCAGUGAAUCAUCGAAUCUUUGAACGCACAUUGCGCCCGCCAGUAUUCUGGCGGGCAUGCCUGUCUGAGCGUCAUUUCAACCCUCAUGCCCCUAGGGCGUGGUGUUGGGGAUCGGCCAGCGCCCGCGAGGGACGGCCGGCCCCUAAAUCUAGUGGCGGACCCGUCGUGGCCUCCCCUGCGAAGUAGUGAUAUUCCGCAUAGGAGAGCGACGAGCCCCUGCCGUUAAACCCCCAACUUUCUAAGGUUGACCUCAGAUCAGGUAGGAAUACCCGCUGAACUUAAGCAUAUCAAUAAGCGGACGA